UACAGAGGGUGCGAGCGUUAAUCGGAGUUACUGGGCGUAAAGGGCGCGUAGGCGGUUAUAUAAGUGAGAUGUGAAAUCCCUGGGCUUAACCUAGGAACUGCAUCUCAUACUGUAUGACUGGAGUAUUGUAGAGGGUAGUGGAAUUUCCGGUGUAGCGGUGAAAUGCGUAGAGAUCGGAAGGAACACCAGUGGCGAAGGCGGCUACCUGGACAAAUACUGACGCUGAGGC
rnacentral:rRNA from 1 species